rnacentral:rRNA from 1 species
GGUUAAGCGACUAAGCGUACACGGUGGAUGCCCUGGCAGUCAGAGGCGAUGAAGGACGUGCUAAUCUGCGAAAAGCGUCGGUAAGGUGAUAUGAACCGUUACAGCCGGCGAUGUCCGAAUGGGGAAACCCAGUGCAAUUCGUUGCACUAUCGUUAACUGAAUACAUAGGUUAACGAGGCGAACCGGGGGAACUGAAACAUCUAAGUACCCCGAGGAAAAGAAAUCAACCGAGAUUCCCCCAGUAGCGGCGAGCGAACGGGGAGCAGCCCAGAGUCUGAAUCAGCUUGUGUGUUAGUGGAACGGUCUGGAAAGUCCGACGGUACAGGGUGAUAGUCCCGUACACCAAAAUGCACAGGUUGUGAACUCGAAGAGUAGGGCGGGACACGUGGUAUCCUGUCUGAAUAUGGGGGGACCAUCCUCCAAGGCUAAAUACUCCUGACUGACCGAUAGUGAACCAGUACCGUGAGGGAAAGGCGAAAAGAACCCCGGCGAGGGGAGUGAAAAAGAACCUGAAACCGUGUACGUACAAGCAGUGGGAGCCUCUUUAUGGGGUGACUGCGUACCUUUUGUAUAAUGGGUCAGCGACUUAUAUUCUGUAGCAAGGUUAACCGUAUAGGGGAGCCGCAGGGAAACCGAGUCUUAACUGGGCGUUAAGUUGCAGGGUAUAGACCCGAAACCCGGUGAUCUAGCCAUGGGCAGGUUGAAGGUUGGGUAACACUAACUGGAGGACCGAACCGACUAAUGUUGAAAAAUUAGCGGAUGACUUGUGGCUGGGGGUGAAAGGCCAAUCAAACCGGGAGAUAGCUGGUUCUCCCCGAAAGCUAUUUAGGUAGCGCCUCGUGAACUCAUCUUCGGGGGUAGAGCACUGUUUCGGCUAGGGGGUCAUCCCGACUUACCAACCCGAUGCAAACUACGAAUACCGAAGAAUGUUAUCACGGGAGACACACGGCGGGUGCUAACGUCCGUCGUGAAGAGGGAAACAACCCAGACCGCCAGCUAAGGUCCCAAAGUCAUGGUUAAGUGGGAAACGAUGUGGGAAGGCACAGACAGCCAGGAUGUUGGCUUAGAAGCAGCCAUCAUUUAAAGAAAGCGUAAUAGCUCACUGGUCGAGUCGGCCUGCGCGGAAGAUGUAACGGGGCUAAACCAUGCACCGAAGCUGCGGCAGCGACACUAUGUGUUGUUGGGUAGGGGAGCGUUCUGUAAGCCUGCGAAGGUGACCUGUGAGGGUUGCUGGAGGUAUCAGAAGUGCGAAUGCUGACAUAAGUAACGAUAAAGCGGGUGAAAAGCCCGCUCGCCGGAAGACCAAGGGUUCCUGUCCAACGUUAAUCGGGGCAGGGUGAGUCGACCCCUAAGGCGAGGCCGAAAGGCGUAGUCGAUGGGAAACAGGUUAAUAUUCCUGUACUUGGUGUUACUGCGAAGGGGGGACGGAGAAGGCUAUGUUAGCCGGGCGACGGUUGUCCCGGUUUAAGCAUGUAGGCGGAGGUUCCAGGUAAAUCCGGUACCUUUUAACGCUGAGGUGUGAUGACGAGGCACUACGGUGCUGAAGUAACAAAUGCCCUGCUUCCAGGAAAAGCCUCUAAGCAUCAGGUAACAUUAAAUCGUACCCCAAACCGACACAGGUGGUCAGGUAGAGAAUACCAAGGCGCUUGAGAGAACUCGGGUGAAGGAACUAGGCAAAAUGGUGCCGUAACUUCGGGAGAAGGCACGCUGAUAUGUAGGUGAAGUCCCUGCGGAUGGAGCUGAAAUCAGUCGAAGAUACCAGCUGGCUGCAACUGUUUAUUAAAAACACAGCACUGUGCAAACACGAAAGUGGACGUAUACGGUGUGACGCCUGCCCGGUGCCGGAAGGUUAAUUGAUGGGGUUAUCCGUAAGGAGAAGCUCUUGAUCGAAGCCCCGGUAAACGGCGGCCGUAACUAUAACGGUCCUAAGGUAGCGAAAUUCCUUGUCGGGUAAGUUCCGACCUGCACGAAUGGCGUAAUGAUGGCCAGGCUGUCUCCACCCGAGACUCAGUGAAAUUGAACUCGCUGUGAAGAUGCAGUGUACCCGCGGCAAGACGGAAAGACCCCGUGAACCUUUACUAUAGCUUGACACUGAACAUUGAGCCUUGAUGUGUAGGAUAGGUGGGAGGCUUUGAAGCGUGGACGCCAGUCUGCGUGGAGCCAACCUUGAAAUACCACCCUUUAAUGUUUGAUGUUCUAACGUAGACCCCUAAUCGGGGUUGCGGACAGUGUCUGGUGGGUAGUUUGACUGGGGCGGUCUCCUCCCAAAGAGUAACGGAGGAGCACGAAGGUUAGCUAAUCCUGGUCGGACAUCAGGAGGUUAGUGCAAUGGCAUAAGCUAGCUUGACUGCGAGCGUGACGGCGCGAGCAGGUGCGAAAGCAGGUCAUAGUGAUCCGGUGGUUCUGAAUGGAAGGGCCAUCGCUCAACGGAUAAAAGGUACUCCGGGGAUAACAGGCUGAUACCGCCCAAGAGUUCAUAUCGACGGCGGUGUUUGGCACCUCGAUGUCGGCUCAUCACAUCCUGGGGCUGAAGUAGGUCCCAAGGGUAUGGCUGUUCGCCAUUUAAAGUGGUACGCGAGCUGGGUUUAGAACGUCGUGAGACAGUUCGGUCCCUAUCUGCCGUGGGCGCUGGAGAAUUGAGGGGGGCUGCUCCUAGUACGAGAGGACCGGAGUGGACGCAUCACUGGUGUUCGGGUUGUCAUGCCAAUGGCAUUGCCCGGUAGCUAAAUGCGGAAGAGAUAAGUGCUGAAAGCAUCUAAGCACGAAACUUGCCCCGAGAUGAGUUCUCCCUGAGACUAUAAGUCUCCUGAAGGAACGUUGAAGACGACGACGUUGAUAGGCCGGGUGUGUAAGCGCAGCGAUGCGUUGAGCUAACCGGUACUAAUGAACCGUGAGGCUUAACCUU